rnacentral:rRNA from 1 species
CGCGUGGGUGACCUGCCCCGAAGUGUGGGAUAACAGUUCGAAAGGAUUGCUAAUACUGCAUAAUAUCCAAGAGAUUAGACGCUUUUGGAUUAAAGGAGUAAUUCGCUUCGGGAGGGGCCCGCGUCCCAUCAGCUAGUUGGUAAGGUAAUGGCUUACCAAGGCGAUGACGGGUAGGGGACCUGAGAGGGUGGCCCCCCACAAUGGAACUGAAACACGGUCCAUACACCUACGGGUGGCAGCAGUAGGGAAUAUUAGUAAUGGGCGAAAGCCUGAACUAGCAACGCCGCGUGUGCGAAGAAGGCCUUCGGGUUGUAAAGCACUUUUUGAGAGGAUGAGGAAGGACGGUACUCUCAGAAUAAGUCUCGGCUAACUACGUG